CUACGGGCGGCUGCAGUGGGGAAUAUUGGGCAAUGGGCGCAAGCCUGACCCAGCAACGCCGCGUGAGGGAAGAAUGUCUUCGGAUUGUAAACCUCUGUCCUUGGGGACGAAAAAAAUGACGGUACCCAAGGAGGAAGCUCCGGCUAACUACGUGCCAGCAGCCGCGGUAAUACGUAGGGAGCAAGCGUUGUCCGGAAUUAUUGGGCGUAAAGGGUGCGUAGGCGGCGCUGUAAGUCAGAUGUGAAAUCCCCGGGCUUAACUCGGGAGUUGCAUUUGAAACUACAGUGCUUGAGUAAAGAAGGGGUAAGUGGAAUUCCUAGUGUAGCGGUGGAAUGCGUAGAUAUUAGGAGGAACACCAGUGGCGAAGGCGACUUACUGGUCUUUUACUGACGCUGAGGCACGAAAGCGUGGGGAGCAAACAGGAUUAGAUACCCAUGUAGUC
rnacentral:rRNA from 1 species